AUAUAUAUAUAUAUAAUUAGGCUGGAAUACUAUUAAUAGUAAAACGCUCUUUUUACUAUCAAAUUUUUAACCCUUGGAUGAAAAAUUGUAGGGUCGGAAUGAUAUUAGUUGGUUAGAGUUGAGUGGUCCCCCUAGGGUUGAGUGGUUCCCACUGGGUUAUAGUAUUUAAUCCAAUGGUUAGAAAUAAUGAAAAGAGUUGAUCCAAAGGCUAAAAAACUGAUAGCAACAAUGGAAUUUUGCUACUAAUAGUAGCCCAGUCCAACUCUAUAUAUAUAUAUAUAUAUAUGUGUGUGUGUGUGGUGUUCGAUGAACCAGUUUAGAGUUGAUCAAUAAUUGUUUUUCUCUUUUCGAAGAAAUGACUUAUUUCUAUAUAUCUCUCUACUUCUGCUUCUUCUCUCUCAAUAGGUCUUGAGCUUCCUCACCAUUGCU
rnacentral:lncRNA from 1 species